rnacentral:rRNA from 1 species
UACGGAGGGUGCAAGCGUUGUCCGGAUUUACUGGGUUUAAAGGGUGCGUAGGCGGCUUUGUAAGUCAGUGGUGAAAUAUGGCAGCUCAACUGUCAGGGUGCCAUUGAUACUGCGGAGCUUGAGUACAGAUGAGGUAGGCGGAAUUGACGGUGUAGCGGUGAAAUGCUUAGAUAUCGUCAAGAACACCGAUAGCGAAGGCAGCUUACUGGGCUGUAACUGACGCUGAGGCACGAAAGUGUGGGGAUCAAACAGG